rnacentral:rRNA from 1 species
CGUAGGUGGCAAGCGUUGUCCGGAUUUACUGGGCGUAAAGCGCGCGCAGGCGGACUGGUUAGUCCGGGGUGAAAGCUCAUGGCUCAACUGUGAGUGGUCCCCGGAUACUGCCCGUCUUGAGGUGUCUAGAGGAGAGCGGAAUUCCCGGUGUAGUGGUGGAAUGCGUAGAUAUCGGGAAGAACACCAGUGGCGAAAGCGGCUCUCUGGGGACCACCUGACGCUGAGGCGCGAAAGCGUGGGGAGCGAACCGGAUUAGAUACCCGGGUAGUCCACGCCGUAAACGAUGAGCACUAGCUGUCGGGGGUAUCGACCCCUCCGGUAGCGCAGCUAACGCAAUAAGUGCUCCGCCUGGGGACUACGGCCGCAAGGCUA